rnacentral:misc_RNA from 1 species
AAGAAUUUAUUAGAGAAGGCAAAACCAGAGGCAGCAUUUUGAAGCUCUCCAUACUCGGUUCCAUAUACAUAAACCAAAAAAAACGUUUUAACAAGCCUCAAUAAUAUCACCCAGAAUAAUAUGCAACAAACACACAACCGCAUCUCCAACAUAAUUAAAAAAAAAAGUUUGCAAAUAAUGUCAACUUCUUUGGAUGCUAUAAUAUACAAGAAAUCCUUAUACACUUCUAUAUAUCUCCUUUCCCCACGAAACUUCUCAUCUCCAGCAUGCCACUAAAAUGCCAUCCAUGUGAAAAGAAAAACCUGUCAAGGUAGAUCAACAAUCAACUCCUGAGUUUUUCCUUGACGGUUUAAUUACCAUUUUUGUGCCCAUCAUCAACCUUGAAUUCUCUCACCUCUGCCAUUUUUUUUCUGGAAUAAGGAAAAUUCAAGAACGUCAGUAUCUGUUUCUUCCAAAGGCUAAAAAACUGAUUCCUAGAGUUAGUUAAACCCAUACUCAUUCACGGAUUACCAAAUGCUUUUAAUCGCUUUGUUUGGGUGGCCAUCAGAGCAAAUGCCAUGAUGCUCAUCUCCAUGGAUUUGACUGAAAAGUGGUGGGGUUUACACCUGUUAUUUGUGAGAGACCCAGCCACGGUCUGGUUCCGGUUCCAGUUCCAGGGCCAGGGGACUGGAACCAACACCGAAAGGUCCCCUGAUUCCUGUUCAGUUUUGAUUCAGGUUUGGUAUGAUUUUAAUCAAAUGUAAUGGUCAUUUUUUCCUCUUUUUAAAAGGGAAAAAUUCAGUUUUGGUCCGAAACCAGAGUGGCCGAUUCUGGCCCAGUUCAAGUCCACUUUCAGUCAAUCCAGAUUUGACCGGUUUUGGUUUUGGGUUGGACCAGUCCAUACUGGACAGCCGCCAUCUAUGUUGCACAUUAAAAUGAACCACCCCAACAACAUUAAAUACUACUCUAAUUAUUUUUUUUUUAACAAUAAGAAACAAGAGCAGUAACAGCAAUAAAGAUAUCCUAAUAACAGGAGUACAAUUGGAAAAAUCCAUCCAUCCAUCCAUCUAAAUAAAUGUGUGCAAGCUUCUACAUUCCAAAAUCCAGUAAUUUCAUCAAAUGAAUAAUGGAAGAUCUUAGAAACUUAAUGAUACCUAAGGGCGGGCACAUAUUGACAAAUGAAAACGGAAAAUUUUAUGCAAAUGAUGGCUGAUGCUAAUAAUCAAAUGAGCAAAAGAAAGUUUAGAGAAUACCGUGAAUUACAUGGCUGCCAUUUCCCUUUGCACCAGGCUGUGCUUGAGACAUUGAUCGCUGGAUGCGUGGAGAACCCUGCCUUCCAUUUGCACCAGGUAAAGAAUGUCUCUUCUUGAUGUAAUCUCUGUCCUGCACAUCUGGACUUGAUCUUGGUGAGUUAUUUGCCUGGAUCUUGGCUCUAGCUGAUUCAGUGGCUUGCAUGAAAUGAGGGAGAGAACUACUACUACUACUACCAUCAUCUCUAGGUUCUUGAUCAGUGGGAUCGGGUCUUGCUGAACCAAAAGAAUUGCACCUCUUCCCAUUCCUCUGGUCUUUAGGCAUUUGUUCCACGCUACUUCUUGCACCAGAAUCAUGAUUUGGGUUUGAUGGAGAUUGCUUACUUUCUGAAAUGGACUUGCGUUUUUGGUUUGAAGCACUCUUGUCUGCCUUGUUCCUUUUAUCUUUUGAGGAAACCUGACUAGAAGGUGUUCCUUGGGAUUCUGGAACAGCUAUAUGGCUUCUCGGAGAAGCUUCUGGGCUUGACCUAUAUGUUGGACCACCUGCCUCAGAAUCCAGUUCUCUUUGAACAUCAGAAGCACUUCUCUCUGGCUUCAUCUCAAUAUGCCGGGAAUCUGUAGCUACAAUUGAAUCCGCAGCUUCACCUAUGACACUAUCAAGUUGCUCAGGUUGAAUCAUUAUACGGUCGGACAAAUUUGACACCAGAUCAGUAGAUGCAUUCUUGACUUCGACAACUACAUCUUCUGUGCUCUUAGGAUUUUCUUUCUCUGUAGAUUUGGCUUCAUGAUCACAUUCUGCUGCUCCAACUUCAAAUACAUCAGGUGAAUCAAGAGUGGAAGUAACAGAAAGUUCAGUACCACAUUCAGAGCCACCAUAUUGAGCCCUCGAAUUAUUAGGGACUGAGUUUUCUACCAUGUUGAGAGCUUUUGUCCUCAUUACAGUGUCUGUCCCACAUGAAAUUGUGUCCAUAUUUGAUUCAACUCCACCAUCUUGAUAUGAUGAACUGAGUGAUCUAUUUGAAUUAGCUGUUGAACUUGGUUCCUCAAACUUGGACUGAGCAGCAAUAAAUGCAGGUUUGCUAACUUUUCUUGAUCCAAAUACAAACUUCUUUCCUUCAGUCUCUGGCUGUUCAGAGGCAUACCUUUUCAUAGAUCGUUUGGGUUGAUCAGUUUGUUCACCUUCUAUUUCUGCCUUACAAGAAAUUUCCAUUUGACAAUUUACAUCAGAUUCCAUUGUUUGAUUUGGGAGAGAAUUUGUGUCUAUUGAUGGCUCUUUUGCAUCAGAUGCACUAAUAUUCUUGGGCUGAGGCUGCUCUGAAUUAUCUCCUACUAAAGAAGAGGUUAGAUGGUGUUCCUGAAACUUAAAGUCAUCUGCAUCAUAAGUUACCAAAUUAUCUUCAGUUUCAGAAGGCAGAAUAGUUUCCUGUAUAUUGGACUUUGAAUCUUCCGACUCACAAAAACCUUCAGAUGGAACUGCAGCUUCCACUUCAGUAACCACAUCCCCACUUUUCUCUAUUUCCAAUUGCUGCUCAGUUGUUAACUCUGGUUUUGGAGUUGGUUCUGUUGAUGAAACGGACAUCCACCUCUCCAACCAGUUCCAAGCAGAAUUUGGUUUUGAAGAAUCACACUUGAUGUGGAUAGGCCUCGUCUUUGGAGUUGAUUCCAUUAGCUUUAGUUGAAAAGAAAACAUCACAUGUUUGGGAUGAAUAAGUGAGGUAGCUGUGUACAUUAGAACACAAACCAAAAGACAUCCAUUCACCAUACCUGGCGAGCAAACCUAUUGCUAAGCAGCUUCUCAAUGGAAGUGUAUGCUAUAUCUGGCUUGGUUAUUGAAUUUCCUUUCCCCGAGGUCUUUAAAAUAGCCUUCUCAUGCUUCCCAUCUAUCUUCUCUUCCGUAUAUGACCCUUCUUGCAUCAAACGAGCACAGCGAGCACGAACAAGUGCUUGCAUUUUGACAAUGGCUUGUAUGCAUCGUAGGGUUCCAACAGCAUGCCGCCGGACUAAGUGCCCCCGAACAACAGCUUGCAACUUAACUAAGUUCUUCAGUUUGAUAAGUUCUCUUUGGGCCAGACAGCCUCGGACAGCAGCCUGUAUGACAAUAACAACAGACUCUUCAAGUUGGGCAUCAACUUCACUUUCAUCCAUGGCAACAACAAAAGUCUCAGAUACUUUUGAGUCUGCAAAAGUUGACAAGUGUGGCUUCUCAUCAGUGCAUUGUAUCACAGAGAUUUUAUCUGGAACAGUGGAAGUAUCAGGCGAUUGGAAGUUAAGACUGGCAGAUUCUGUGCUCUCCUUAUUUGCAGAAUAAGAGGCUUCAGUGAUGAUAGUGUUGCUUAGAACUCGAUGACGGACAGAUCUCUUCCGGAAACUCCAUCCGCAGCCCUCAGUUGAAUUCUUGUUCUCAGGAGCUUGGAGAUCAUCUUCAUCAGCUGAACCACCACCGCAUGUGAUUAUUUUGAAACAAGAAGUGGAUCUUCCCAUUCUUUUUCUUCCUCCUAAUCUGUUUCUCUCACUCCAGACUUCACUCUCCCUCUCUAUCUCUCUCUCCUUCUUCUGUUCCAGACAACGCACCUAUGUUGUAGCGUCGUUGGAAAUUGUAACUAAGGG